rnacentral:rRNA from 1 species
CAGUCGCACCUGCGGACAAUCAGCUUUUUGAGUGUGAUUAUGUGGAUUGUGAGGAGUUUAAUCACCCUCAUGUUUUAUGUAUUCGUGCUCUUGGGUGUACUUGCCCGUGUGGUAGGUUAACAUCAAUUUUGGUCGUCAUAAAAUGACUGGAGGAAUGUAGCUUUGGUCUCGUAUCGAAGUGUUAUAGACUCUGGUAGAUGUGACGAUUGGGGAUUGGAGGAUUGCAACGGAUACCCUUCGGGGCUACUCGUCUGAUCUCUGAAGGUUGUUCCGGUGCCGAAAGCGUGCGUUACGGUCAUCGAAAGUGUAUUUACAAAAGGUUAG